rnacentral:rRNA from 1 species
GACGAACGCUGGCGGCGUGCCUAAUACAUGCGAGUAGAACGCACAGUUUAUACCGUAGCUUGCUACACCAUAGACUGUGAGUUGCGAACGGGUGAGUAACGCGUAGGUAACCUGCCUGGUAGCGGGGGAUAACUAUUGGAAACGAUAGCUAAUACCGCAUAAUAUUGAUUAUUGCAUGAUAAUUGAUUGAAAGAUGCUAUUGCAUCACUACCAGCUGGACCUGCGUUGUAUUAGCUAGUAGGUGAGGUAACGGCUCACCUAGGCGACGAUACAUAGCCGACCUGAGAGGGUGAUCGGCCACACUGGGACUGAGACACGGCCCAGACUCCUACGGGAGGCAGCAGUAGGGAAUCUUCGGCAAUGGACGAAAGUCUGACCGAGCAACGCCGCGUGAGUGAAGAAGGUUUUCGGAUCGUAAAGCUCUGUUGUAAGAGAAGAACGGGUGUGAGAGUGGAAAGUUCACACUGUGACGGUAUCUUACCAGAAAGGGACGGCUAACUACGUG